rnacentral:rRNA from 1 species
GAUGAACGCUGGCGGCGUGCUUAACACAUGCAAGUCGAACGGAAAGGCUCCUGCUUGCAGGGGUACUCGAGUGGCGAACGGGUGAGUAACACGUGGGUGAUCUGCCCUGCACUUCGGGAUAAGCCUGGGAAACUGGGUCUAAUACCGGAUAGGACCACAUUUUGGAUGGUGUGGUGGAAAGUUUUUCGGUGUGGGAUGAGCUCGCGGCCUAUCAGCUUGUUGGUGGGGUAGUGGCCUACCAAGGCGUCGACGGGUAGCCGGCCUGAGAGGGUGUACGGCCACAUUGGGACUGAGAUACGGCCCAGACUCCUACGGGAGGCAGCAGUGGGGAAUAUUGCACAAUGGGCGCAAGCCUGAUGCAGCGACGCCGCGUGGGGGAUGACGGCCUUCGGGUUGUAAACUCCUUUCGCUAGGGACGAAGCGCAAGUGACGGUACCUGGAGAAGAAGCACCGGCUAACUACGUG